rnacentral:rRNA from 1 species
UACGUAGGGGGCAAGCGUUGUCCGGAAUCAUUGGGCGUAAAGCGCGUGUAGGCGGUUCAGUAAGUCUGCUGUGAAAGUCCAGGGCUCAACCCUGGGAUGCCGGUGGAUACUGCUGGGCUAGAGUACGGAAGAGGCGAGUGGAAUUCCCGGUGUAGCGGUGAAAUGCGCAGAUAUCGGGAGGAACACCAAUUGCGAAGGCAGCUCGCUGGGACGUUACUGACGCUGAGACGCGAAAAGCUAGGGUAGCAAACGGGG